rnacentral:rRNA from 1 species
GGCGGNGUGGAUAAGACAUGCAAGUCGAACGGAUUUUCACUGGUAGCAAUAUUAGUGAGAGUCAGUGGCGCAAGGGUGCGUAACACGUGGGCAACCUGCCCUGGGGAGUGGGAUAGCCCGCCGAAAGGCGGAUUAAUACCACAUGUGGCUACCGAAAGCAUUUUCGGGACGCUAAAGUCGGCGCAAGCUGACGCUCCGGGAUGGGCCCGCGGCCUAUCAGUUAGUUGGCGGGGUAACGGCCCACCAAGACUAUGACGGGUAGCUGGUCUGAGAGGACGACCAGCCACACUGGAACUGAGACACGGUCCAGACACCUACGGGUGGCAGCAGUCGAGAAUUUUUCUCAAUGGGGGCAACCCUGAAGGAGCGACGCCGCGUGGAGGAUGAAGGUUUUCGGAUUGUAAACUCCUGUCAUUGGUGAACAAAGCCUUGGGUUAACUGCCUAAAGGUUUGCUAGUA